CCUACGGGGGGCAGCAGUGGGGAAUAUUGCACAAUGGGGGAAACCCUGAUGCAGCGACGCCGCGUGAGCGAAGAAGUAUUUCGGUAUGUAAAGCUCUAUCAGCAGGGAAGAAAAAAAUGACGGUACCUGAGUAAGAAGCACCGGCUAAAUACGUGCCAGCAGCCGCGGUAAUACGUAUGGUGCAAGCGUUAUCCGGAUUUACUGGGUGUAAAGGGAGCGUAGGCGGCGCGUUAAGUCUGAUGUGAAAACCCGAGGCUCAACCACGGGAGUGCAUUGGAAACUGGCGGGCUGGAGUGCCGGAGAGG
rnacentral:rRNA from 1 species